AAUUGAAAGACUAUAAAUUAAUUGAAACCUUGAUGCAUGUAGAUGACCUCAUGGACCAAUUUACACAACUAGUUUAUAAUGAGUUCAGUCCAGAUCACCCAAAAAGAUAUGUUACACUUGUAAAUAGAAAUUACACUUCUAAUUUUUUAUAAGUGCAAGUUAUUUAAAAAUACAAAUAAAAAUUACACUGGUUACUCCUAACUUCUAUUUAU
rnacentral:lncRNA from 1 species